UACGUAGGGUGCGAGCGUUAAUCGGAAUUAUUGGGCGUAAAGCGCGCGUAGGCGGCUUUGCAAGUCGGGUGUGAAAGCCCUCAGCUUAACUGAGGAAGUGCGCCCGAAACUGCAUGGCUUGAGUGUCGGAGAGGAUGGCGGAAUACCCCAAGUAGAGGUGAAAUUCGUAGAUAUGGGGUGGAACACCGGUGGCGAAGGCGGCCAUCUGGACGAUAACUGACGCUGAGGCGCGAAAGCGUGGGUAGCAAACAGG
rnacentral:rRNA from 1 species